rnacentral:rRNA from 1 species
AAAGCGUGCGCAGGCGGUUCGGAAAGAAGGAUGUGAAAUCCCAGGGCUUAACCUUGGAACUGCAUUCUUAACUACCGGGCUAGAGUAUGUCAGAGGGAGGUGGAAUUCCGCGUGUAGCAGUGAAAUGCGUAGAUAUGCGGAGGAACACCGAUGGCGAAGGCAGCCUCCUGGGAUAAUACUGACGCUCAUGCACGAAAGCGUGGGGAGCAAACAGGAUUAGAUACCCGUGU